rnacentral:lncRNA from 1 species
AGAUGUCUGAGUAGAUCUUGCGGUAACGUGUCAGUGAGGGGUACGUGUUUGUAACAGGCGAAGGGUGGUUGCCUGUACUCUGUUUAGCUUGUGAUGAGGAAUGGGGAAGGUUGUUCUUACGAGAUAGAAUGAUUUCGUAAGGUCGUUGUAGCUGGUGAGGCAAUCGCAUUCCCUGGGUGCACCUGCGCUGUCUCCGGCACGGUUGACAAGGCCUCGUGCUACGGAGUGAGCGACCUCGUUGAGGUUGGUGAAGUGCGGAUGUACGUCGCCGGCGUGUGCUGGGAACCAGACGAGAG